rnacentral:misc_RNA from 1 species
UCUCCGUCGGUGAACCAGCGGAGGGAUCAUUACCGAGUUAUCAACUCCCAAACCCCUGUGAACAUACCCAACGUUGCUUCGGCGGAACCGCCCCGGCGCCCUCGGCGUCCCGGAACCAGGCGCCCGCCGGAGGACGCAAACUCUUGUUUAAACCAUAGUGGCAUAUUCUGAGUCUCACAAGAAAAAUGAAUCAAAACUUUCAACAACGGAUCUCUUGGCUCUG